rnacentral:rRNA from 1 species
UACAGAGGGGGCAAGCGUUGUUCGGAAUUACUGGGCGUAAAGGGCGCGUAGGCGGCCUUCUAAGUCGAACGUGAAAUCCCCGGGCUCAACCCGGGAACUGCGUCCGAUACUGGAAGGCUUGAAUCCGGGAGAGGGAUGCGGAAUUCCAGGUGUAGCGGUGAAAUGCGUAGAUAUCUGGAGGAACACCGGUGGCGAAGGCGGCAUCCUGGACCGGCAUUGACGCUGAGGCUCGAAAGCGUGGGGAGCAAACAGG